rnacentral:rRNA from 1 species
GCUAAAAUCUAUGCUUUUUAGAUGCCUAAAAAGCAUUUCAGAAAUAAGGGGCUGGGCAAGACCCGGUGCCAGCCGCCGCGGUAACACCGGCGGCUCGAGUGGUAACCGUUAUUAUUGGGUCUAAAGGGUCUGUAGCCGGCCGGAUAAGUCUCUUGAGAAAUCUGGCAAUCCAACUGUCAGGCUUUCAGGAGAUACUGUCUGGCUCGAGGCCGGGAGAGGUGAGAGGUACUUCAGGGGUAGGGGUGAAAUCUUGUAAUCCA